rnacentral:rRNA from 1 species
ACUCCUACGGGAGGCAGCAGUGGGGAAUAUUGGACAAUGGGGAACCGCUGAUCCAGCCAUGCCGCGUGUGUGAAGAAGGCCUUAUGGUUGUAAAGCACUUUAAGCGAGGAGGAGGCUACUGAGACUAAUACUCUUGGAUAGUGGACGUUACUCGCAGAAUAAGCACCGGCUAACUCUGUGCCAGCAGCCGCGGUAAUACAGAGGGUGCGAGCGUUAAUCGGAUUUACUGGGCGUAAAGCGUGCGCAGGCGGUCUGUUAAGCGAGAUGUGAAAG